rnacentral:rRNA from 1 species
UCGAGAAUCUUCGGCAAUGGGCGCAAGCCUGACCGAGCGACGCCGCGUGGAGGACGAAGGCCUUCGGGUUGUAAACUCCUGUCGAGGGGGAGGAAGGUCGGGCAACCGGCUUGACCGAUCCCUGGAGGAAGCACGGGCUAAGUUCGUGCCAGCAGCCGCGGUAAGACGAACCGUGCGAACGUUAUUCGGAAUCACUGGGCUUAAAGGGCGCGUAGACGGGUCGGCGCAUCGGACGCUGAAAUCCCCCGGCUUAACCGGGGAACGGGCGCCGAGAUGGCCGGCCUCGAGUGGAGGAGGGGGACCUGGAACUGCCGGUGGAGCGGUGAAAUGCGUUGAGAUCGGCAGGAACGCCGACGGCGAAAGCAGGGUCCUGGACUCCCACUGACGUUGAGGCGCGAAAGCCAGGGGAGCGAACGGGAUUAGAUACCCCCGUAGUCC